rnacentral:misc_RNA from 1 species
AAUUCUCAACCCUAUAAGAUUUUUCUUUAUAGUGGCUUGGAUGUGGGGGUUUUCUUGCUGGCUUUUAUUAGUCUGCUCCCCUGAAAUGCAUUAGCUGGUGUCUCUUGCCAGUCUAUGUUGGUGUGAUAAUUAUCUACGCCAUUGGACUUGUAAAAGCACUGCUUCUAACUGUCCUGUUAUUUGGGACAAACUACUACAAUGACA